GAAACUGCAAGGAUGAUACAGAAGGAAAUAGAUGGUCAAAUCUUUUAUGUUUAUGGACAACUACAAAUGGCUAGCUCUCAAAAAGGAAACACUUCGCUGAAAACAGGUCAUACGCUUACAAGUCAUGGGUCAAAGUCACAAAUUCCUAGAACACACUCCUCCCUUACUAGCACACGCAAAAGAAGCGGGAUCGAGAGAAAGCAGGUGAGGAAGAAGACCCAAUUGAUGUCUUAAAGGCUGUAGGUGAAGUUGGGCAAGGGUUAGUAAAGAGUGUACAUUUUCUCAAGGCUCCAAGGCUCAUGAAUUAAACCUUACUUUUCUCUAGGCCUAGAAUAGGAAUCAUGAAAUUCCUAAGCAUUCCUGUUUCCUUGAUAUAGUAGGCAAAUCUAACACAACAGUCAGACAGAAACAUAGUGGUUUGCAGUUGCAAUCUGUAUUUAUGUUUGUUCCGGCAAGUGCAAUUUCUCAGAAUUUAUUUUUUUA